UUUUUUUUUUUCUCCCCACCACAUCUGCACAUGGAAGUCCCCGGCCAGGGAUCAAACCUGAGAGAGAGAAGGCCAGGUCCUUAACUUCUCUACCACAGUGGGAACUCCACCCCAUUCAUUUUUAGUGCACUUUACCUGCAAAUAAACAUUCAUAUACAUAACACGCUCCUGAGAUGUAUACCUUGAAAAUGUAAAAGUUACAUAUAAUCUCCCAAGUGCGAGGGGUCUACGAGCCUCUUCUCCAUGGCCUAUGGGUCAAAUUCUGCCAGCAGUGUUUCUACACAGCCCUCGAGCUAAGAAUGGUUUUUACAUUUUAAAACCUGUAUAAAGAAGAGAAUGUGCAACAGACACCACACGUGCCUGGCAAGCCUGAACCAGCUGUUGCCUGGGCCUCUGCAGCCGAGGCUCUGGGACCCCUGGUUCUGGCCGCCCGCCCGCCAUGGGCCAGUCCCUUUCCAUGCUCCCAGGGGAGGGCGCUCACGGCCUCCCGGGGUCUCUGUGGACCCUUCCUGCGGGAGGGACCCCAGCGCUGUCUGCCCAGGCCCCUGGUGGGCAGCACCCCCUCCCCGAGACAGACCGAGGGGGCUCCCCUUACUCAGGUCCUUCCAGAGCAGGCUGGGGUGGGAGGGUCCUUCUCUCAGCAGCUCUACCUGAGACGGGACCCAGGGCACAGCAAGGUGGGCCGACAGGUGGACCAGAGGGACCCUCCAAGAGAGAUGGUGAUGGCCCCCCUGACGGCAGUAAACCCACCCUGGCAAACGGUCUCUCUGCCUCAGCUUCCUCAUCUGUGCCUGAGUGUGGAGCAGGGCGCCAGCCCUCACCCACUGGUGACCUCGGGUGAGCCUGCUACACCCCCAGGCCGUGGCGUCCCUGCUCCUAGAACAGCCCAGGCUCUGGUGAGGCGUGCGGGAGACACGCCAGGCUGAGGGGGCAGGCCUGGCAGUGGGGGUGGGCUGCGGUGACGGGGGGAUCCAGCCCCGUGAUCACCACUAGUGAGUCUGCAAGCUGCUGGGAGGGCACUGGCCAUGGGGCAGGCGGGCUGGUGGGGAGACAAACGAGACGCUUGGACGCCAUCAGCUUCUGAGGCACAGGGAAGACAGCCAGGGGGUGGGGGGCAGAUGCAAACACAGGCAUGGCAGCAGGAGGGAGGGGCAGGGAGGCUGGACCAGAACCCCAGGGGACACCCCAGUGGCCAAGUGCCUGAAGGAAGCAGCCAGUUGUGGCCCUGGCCUCCUGGCCCCUGGUCUUGCCUCGAGCUUGGCCUGUGUGCCUGAGGCUGUAGCCCAGCAUCACCCAGGCUGCACCCUUGCCAGCUUCCCUCAGCUGCCCCUGGGGCCGGAGGGCAGACCCCAGGCCGGCUCACUGACAUGGAAGUGCCCUAGCCCCGACUUAGGGGAAAGUGGGACAUCUUUAGGCCACGUCUAUCCACCAGUUCCCAUCAGAUUCCCAACUUUUCUGUCCAGGACAGGAAGGGCAGGUGGGACUUUCCCCCAGCAAACCCCGCACCCCGAUUCCUCCGCAUCCCUAGGCACUUGGCCCCAGGCCUGCCCUCCUCCGACCUUCACUGGCCCUCAGGCCAGCCUCACUGUCCAGUCAAAUGAACUUGACCCCGAGAGGGAACAAGAAACCUGCCAUAAAAGAUGAGGCUCUGUAAUGAGAUUCUAGGUGGCCCCACCCAGCAUACGGUACCGAGCCGAGUGGGUACAUGGCUAAUUAUGUUUAAUUACAUAUCAUUUAAAUUCAAGAAUCCAUUAAAGGGAAGGAUUGCAUUAGCAGCCAGCCGCUGUUUGCCAACACACAGAAGAAAUCGUGGACUUUUAUGUCUUAAUUACACGACGCUGCCGUGGGCUGCAGCUCUCAGGGGGCCGGGCUGCAUGGAGGGGACGCAUUCUGGGCCCACCUGCUCUGACGCCCCCUAUGCUGGGCCUCACUGGGCAGGGAUGGACCCCACGCCACACUGGCUGGUAACCUGGGAUCCACAGGCCUCAAAGAUGUCACACUAGAGAAGCUGGACCAAGAAACCCAGCAGAGAUGUGCCCUAUGGCAGUGGGGACAGAAGCAGGGGGUGACGAGCGAAGAGGCCAAGAGAGCCCCAUGGCCGUGAGCUGCCCCUGCCGGCCCCGGGCAGGGCAUGGGGCGAGGAGGGGACAGGCGGGCACAGCUGGGCCAAGAGGGCCGAGGCGGGAGUGGGGAAGAGACAGACAGACAGACAGAGAAGGACACAGAGACACACACACUCAGAGGGAGGAAGGAGGAAAGGCAGAGACGGGAAGAGAGACAGAGGGAAGGAAAGAAACAGAGCAGGCAGGGGGCGGGGGGGGCACAGCACAACGGAGGAAAGAAGGCAGGAGAGGGCAGGGGUCAAGGAGGAGGGGGGCAGUCUGGAGGGGAGGAGCGCAAAAGAGGAAGAGGAGCGAGAGCCAGCGCACAGAGGCGAGGGAGACAGACUCCGGAGUCUCCCGGCGGAGAGCAGGCCAUGUCACAUGUGCCCUGCCCACCCCUGCACUCCACUGUGACCUAAGGGGGGGGAACCUUCCCUGCACCCACAGGCUCAGCUGAGGCUUGGCCAGCCCCCCCCGCCAGGUCACCACUGCUCCUCCCCUGUCCCAGACCCAGCCCAGGCCCACACAGCGAGGGUCCCUGCUCUGUCCCCAACUGGCUGUCUCUUCCCCUCUCUUCCCCUCCCUGAGCCUCAGUUUCCUCAUCGGUAAGGAUGGCCUGGCUCUCGGGGCCACUCUGAGAAUAAAGCACCUGGCACUUCACCUGCACCUGGGGGCCCUCAGGCUGAUGCCGGGACUGGCCUCUGCCCUCCCAGGGCACCGUCCAAUCCCACACUCACAGUCGUGACCAGGGCUGGGAAGGGAAGGCCAGGGGUUCGAAAGAAUGCUGGGGGUCGAGGGACAUGCGGGAGUCAGGGAAGCUUCCAGAAAAGGAGGCAUUAGGCUGGAUCUCUAGCACCACCCCCCCACCAUCCACUGGAGCACAGCCCUCAGAGUUGGGGGCAGAGGGAGGCUCCCUGGGAAAGUUGCCCCAUGGAGGAAUGGCAGGUUCCUCUCAUCUCCUGGGCUCUCGUGCAUGGGUGGUGUGGGUGUCUCUGGCUGAGUCUGAGCCUGGGGACCUAUAGGGGUCCUCCUGCUUCCCAGCAGCGCCCACCUCCAUCUGUGUAAAUUCUGCUGUGGCUCCCAACUGCCCAUGUCACAGACCAGCUCCCCAGCAGAGUGGAUAAGUCUGUCGUAACUGGGUGCCUUCCUAGUCAUCCAGGGUCCAGGACACGUACGCUCCCACAACUCUGUCCAUGAUAUGUCCUGAAAUGGAAUGAUCACUAGGUUCUGUUCCACCUGCAAACUCCUACUCAUCCUUCAAAGCCUAACCUACUUGUUCCCAUCUCCAACUCUAUGCUCCAUUCCACAGGGUGAGUUUCUCUUUCUCUGAGUUCCUAGAACUUGCCCCUCAACCCAUUCUGGUUGGGCACCUGCUGGGGCCCUGCUGAUCUGGGCUGCCUAGAGGGAGGGGCUAGGCCUCCUGCCCCUGGCGGCCACCCACAUAGGCUUGGCUCAGAGCAGGCACCCAGGAAGUAUCCGCCGUCAAGUGAGUGAACAAAGGCCCCCAGCCGGCAGGGCAUCGCCUGUCCUUACUUAUUCCGCCCCCUCAUGCCCUGUGAGCCGAGGGAAGGAGGGAACAAGAGGCAGAGAGCAAGGCCAACCCGUGCCAGGCCUGGACAGUGACACAGGGACCGUCUUUAUACCAGCCCAAGGAAAGUGGCAGCUGGGAGCCAGCAUAGGAGCCCAGCAAGGACGUCUCCACGCCCACCUCCUCCUCCCGGGGCCCAGGAGCGCCAGCACCUCCUCUCUGCUCCACUGACCGAGGGGGCACAGGUGCAGCCGCUCCCUGUGAAGUUCUUGAAGAAUCUGUGCCACCCGCCCGGCACCUCCCCACCCGGGUCAGCUCCAAGCAGAGCCUCCUAAGACCGAGGGCCACAGCACUGCCCAGCAGGGAGGGGCAGGCGUCCUUGUCCCCGAUUGUUUUGGAAGGGCCAGCCGCCCCCUUGGUGGCCGAGGGCCGAGCGCUGGGGGUGGACUGACCAAGUGAAUCCAGGGAACCGGGCCCGGGAUCCGGGGGUGACGCCACUGAGACUGACGCCAACUCUGGGCUGUGCUGACGAAGUUGGAGGAAAAGGACAGAGGGCUUUGAUUCAUGAGGCCGGAGGUGAUGAGGCUGGGCAUCUUUCCACCCAAGCCCCAGGGGUCCAAGAUCCAGGGCCUGAGUGGCUGUUUCUAAGAUGGUUCAGGCCAAAGUGUGGCCUCCGGCAAAUGCCAGGAGGACGGCGCCUGGGCUCUGCCUCCACCUGCCCUCGCCCGUGCUUUUCUGAAGCCUGAUUAGGGGUUCCUGCCACAAGCCCUGGCACAGGGCUUCCUGGGCUGUCACCCACCUGCUGGCCCUGGACAGUUAACUCUUAAGACGGCAGCAUGCUGGGACCCAGUGGGGCAGCCAGAGCUGGCCGCUGGCAGGUGAGACUUUGUGGUGGAGAGAUGGGGAGGGCGCGGUCAGCCACUGGUCCCAGAGGUGGGGCAGGGCGGGCGGGGCAGGCCCAGACUUGGGCAGACACCCCAGGCGCCUCCAGGAACCACUGGUCCUGCGGCUGACGGAGAAACCUACGCAGAAGCGGCUCCCUGAGGAGCCCGUGCCUCAUCCUGCCAAGGUCCCCCGAGCCCCGCUUCACUAGGGGACGCUAACCCCAUCUCUGCCUGCAGGGAGGCCACCGGGAGACAAGGCCCCAGGCCCUGUGCCGUCCUGCCUGGACUUGCCAUCAGCCCCAGCCUCAGCUCGCCCUUCUCGCUCAGAAACCUGCUCCUGUGCCCCCUCCCCCAGCCCCGUCCAGCGAGGCCUCAGCUCCUCUGGCUCGUGCCCCCCAAUACCCCCCCUCAGUCCCACCUGCCUGGGCUCAGCCUCUACCUGAAACCAGCCUGGAGCCCCCGAGCCCCACCUCAGGACCCUGCCACCUGGGGCACCUCCUGCCACUGAUGGCAGAGAGCUGCCCUCCUGUCGCCCAACUGGCUCACACAGCUUUAAAAUCACAUGGAGACCCAAACACUGGACUAAAAGCCCAGGCCUGAGACAGUCCUUGCCUCGGGGCCCCCUGAGGACCCCGGCUCCCUGGCCAGGAAGGGGAAGGGGAAACACCUCUGCUGGCUGGGACCUCCCUCAGAGUCAGAGCUCUGCCGGGGGAGGGGGCUGCCACUCAGAGCUCCCCUUCCUGGCAGGUGCCUGGGCCACCCCGGGCCCUCUGUCUGCCUGCUCAUCUGUAAUGGGCAGGGGUGGGGAGGGCGAGGAGGUAAGCAGUCCCCAGAGCACCCCUCCCCCACGGAGUCUGCGAAUGAGGGAGCAGAGGUGAACCCUGAGGUGACCUGACAUUAAGGGGGAGGGGGCAAAGGCCUCGAGUUUUGGCUGCCUCUGCCCCUCCCUCCCACCUCCGCGUGUCAGAGGAUCUAAAGAUGGGGGAGGGUCCUGUGCCCACCCACUGGGGGACACACCCUUCCUGCAUGUGCACCCGUGGGCUGGGGUCGGCCAGGGUGCCACCCAGAGAGAAUGGAAGGUCCCAUCCGUGUUUUCCACCUUGCAGCCUGGGCAGUCCUCAGACGCCCCCUUCCUGCAGGCAAGUGGCGCCCCAGGGCCCAGAAGCCUGCCCUGGCUCACCCGUCCUGCAGCUGGGAAGGACCAGGAGUCAGUCCCAGCAGAAGGAGGGGCUUGCUGGACCAGGCCCAGGGGCUCUGAGCCCAGACCUGCCAUAGACUGGAGUCCCACCCGGCCAGCAGGCAGGACCUGGGACCCGGCAGAGCUCGCCUGGCUUGGGGGAUGGGUGAGCUUCAGACGCUGCACCACAAGGACAAGGGGACAAGGGGGCACCAGCCCCCAGGGCUGCUGUGGGCAGACUUUGAGGACUCUUUCCCAUGUGCCCUGCACGAUGCCCCCAGGUGGGCACCAUGACCGGCCCGUUCCAGAGACUAUGACACAGAUGCAAGGGGAGCAGGAACUUGCCCAAAGUCACAGGCAGGAGAUGGCAGAGCUGGGACUUCAAUCCCGUGUGUCUGGAUUUAAAUCUGGGGUCACUUGAGCGAGCCUUCCCUUGGCACACAGGACAUAUUCGACAUCUGGGAAUCAUCAGAGGUGGCAGGUCCCCCCCUCGCCAGGCCGAGAGCUCUGUGCGCAGGUGCGCCCUCACCUUCGGGUCAGCUCCAGGCCAGGCACGGCCCGGGAAGUGUCUGCCCGCCCCACUAAUGUACAGCACACAGCAUGGCGUUUGUGCAAAUUGGCAAAGAAAAGGGCCAGUUGGUACUGGAGCUGCACAUGGGGUCCCAAGAGCUGCAGCAGCCUCCCAUGGCUGGGUGCACCCGGGCAGGACCUUGGGGACCCCAGGACCCCUUCUCUGGGUCACAUGGUCCCCAGCACCCAGGACCAGGCCUGCUGAGCCGGGCAGAGGGCCGUGGGGGCCCGAGCCCAGCCGGCAGGGCUCUCGCUGUGGGACCUGGCAGCCAUCCUGAGGCCACGCUGUCCACAGGGAGGAAAUAGGCCUGUUUACAGCCUGCUUCAGCCUGGUGGCACCUUGUCAACCAGAACCCACCCGACGCACCAGCUGUUUCCUGUGGAUCAGAGGCGCGAUGUGCAGCAACAAGUGGGCGGUGCCGCUCGGCUGCCUGCUGGCACGCUGGCAGGCCUGAGAGAUGCCCUCACUCUGACAAACACGGUCCCUUGAACCCACAACCCUGGCGGGAGCCCCUGCCUCCACCUUGCCCAGUUCACAUGCACAGGGAGACCGGAGUCACAAACCAGUGGCCCCUGGACAUGGCUGGUUGGGCCCACAUAGUGUGUUUCAAGAAUAGAAGCUCGAAGAGUUCCUGCUAUGGCUCAGAGGUUAAGAAUCCAACUGCAGCAGCUCAGGUCACUGCGGAGACACAGGUUUGAUUCCCAGCCCAGCAAAGUGGGUUGAAGGGUCCAUCGUUGCUGCUGCUGUGACUCAGACAAGAUUCAGGCCCUGGCCCGGGAGCUUCCAUAGGCCAGAGUUGCAAAAAAAAAAAUUGAACCUUGGAAUUUGGCUUCUUUUGAAAAUCUGGAAAAUUCAGCAACAAUGGGCUGGAAUUCUUUAGGCAAAAACAAGCUGAUCCAGGGUGGCUGCCGCUCCCCUGAAGGGGCAAGCAGCUUCUAGUGUGCCAUACUCCCCACCGUUCUCCACCGUCUCCCUGUUCUUAGACCAGGCCUGGUUCCCUCCCCUCCAGUUUCUGCCUAUCCCUGCAGGUCUCUGAAUAGGCCGCUGUGCCCCAGGCCACCUGGAACUCAUUUCCCAAGGAACAAGUCACCUCCUCUAGGAAGCCUUCCCUGAAGCCUUCCCCCCAGCCCUCACCAGGGUUAGGUGCCUGAUCUGUGCCCUGUGGUUACCUGUGCGAUGCUCCCUCCAGAUUAUGAGCGCCCUGAGGUCAAGGGCAUCCCUGUGGUGGCCUUAUGCUGGGAGCUGGCAGAGACAGGGCUAGUCAGCCAACUGCCUGAGCAGAUGAGCAGGUGGCUUCCUUCCUUCUGAGCAUCCGAGAGCCGAGUGUCAUCACAGGCAUCUGGCUCCUGUAAACCUGAUCUGUCCUAGGCGCCCAGGCGCGGGGACCAACCUGUCCCGGGAGCCAUGGGGGGAUGGGGAGAAAAGCAGGUGUCUGAGGCUCCAGGCCUUGGAACCCCGGCCGGGCCUCACCAUCCGUUCCUCCCUAGAUCCCAGGCCCUAGCAUGCGGGGCCCUCUGUAACUUCACCUGGUGGUGGGGGAGGCGGGGUGGGGGGACCUGCUGCCCAGCCCCCAAAUGCCAGAGCUCUCAGUCUGGGUGGCAGUGCCAGGCCACAGAGAACUUCCUUCUAGAGAACCACUUCCCAGAAUGAAAUGCCCUCUCCCCACAAACCCAGCCUGAGCCAGCCCUGUCUGUGGCCAGUCUAACUGAACCCUAACAGACAAGCACCCCUGUGCCCACACGGGCCAGCCGCGCUCUGCGCCUGUGCUAAGCAGCCUCCAGAGCCCAAGGGUGGCGUCCUAAGCAGAGCGGCAGAGCACACGGAGGUAGGGGCUGCACCGACAGCAGCAAGGGGUCUGGGGAGUCUGGGCAGGGCCCCCAUCACCCAGGGGUUCCCCACUGCCAGCAGGACUAAAUCCAGUCUCCCUAACACAGCCCAUGAGGUUGCCCCAGAGCCCACCAGCCACCCUCUGCUUCUCGUGUCCCCAUGACCCCCCAGCUCUUGUUCGUGUUCCCCAAACUGUCCAAGCCACUGCCUGGAACAUCCUCUCGGGCCCACUUCCCUGUGCAACAUUCGACUCAGAGACUCCUCCCCAAGCCACAGGCUUCAGGACCCUUCCCACCCCCUGAAUGAAUGAAUGAAUGAAUGAACAAAUACAUGGAAGGCCUCGCGGACACAGGCCCAGGGAAUCCGGUCAGGACCUUCCAGUGUCCUGGGAAGAGAACCUCCAAAGUGAGUGGCUCUGUCCACAGAGCAGACGCACCUCCCUGGGAGCAAGGGACCCCCAGGGCACCCCAAGUCAGGCCUGAGCAGUCAGCUAUCACAUGCCCCUGUGACUCCCAUGGGGGCUCAAAUAGCGAGGGCGGUGUCUCUUUUCUUCCUCCUUUUUUGCUCCCAGAAAGCAGGUCAGGCCUGACCCUGGGGGUCCCUGAUUACAACCACACCUGAGCCAGGGCCCAGGAAGGGGAACUGGGAGGGCCUUUUCCUGCCCUCUGGGCCUGGCAGAGGGUGUCUGACCAGGGGUCUGGGCUAGGCUGGCCUGACCGCUGACCUCGGGCAGACACCGAGAGCCUUGAUUCUCUGGCCUCUAAGUGGUGCUGAAAGGGUCCCCCGCCCGGGGCUGCGGUGGCGGGGCAGGGAGGUGGGCCCACAGAGAAUGUGCCCUCUGGGCCGGCAGGCAGAUCGAGGGCAGGUGCUGAGUGAAGAGUGGCCAGAGGGGAGGGGCAGGCCUUGGGGGAGGCUUACCUGGGGCUCCGCAUAUGUCCGCAGAGCAGGCACCGCCUGCCCACAGAGAAGGCGGCAGGCCCUGGGGCCCACAUGCCUCAGGGAGGCACUCCCCCAGGGGCUCUAGACAGCAGCCAGCCAGGCUGCCGGGGACAAGCCCCACACUCCCGCUCGGAGCGGGAGAAGCAGGCCUGGCGGUGGCCAAUGCCAGACCACAGAGACGCUGUGCGGCUGGGCCUGGGGACUCUGCACUUCUCUGAGAGAGAAGGGACAGGCUCUGGGGGCCACUGGCCCAGCUGGUGCCCCCAAGCCCGCCCUUGGGACCCACUUCUCCAAGCUGACGGGAUGCUCUAUUCAUAAUAUUAUUCAUAACAGUGACAGUCACUGGGAGCCUGUCCCUUGGGGACCUGCAGAGGGGAAUGCAUAUGCUAUAGCUGCUUUGGUCUGCGCAGCAGCCCAGGAGGUAGGUGCUACUGCACCCAUCUUACAGCUGACAGAGCAGAAGCUCAGAGAGGGUAAGUGGCCUGCCUGGGGUCACAGAGCGGUGCCUUCUCAACAUGCCAGAAGCACUGUCCAGACCCUGUCAGGAGCAGGAGGCUGGGCCAGCAGGUGGGAGGCAAGGUUCCACUUAAAAGGCUCGUUUGGGCAGAGGGUGAGCCUGCUGGGGGCUGGGCACCUGGCUUCACUGCAGAGGAGCCCCUGACAGCUGUUCAGAAUAUUUUGAUAAAAACACGUUGAACACCUGGUGUGUGUUUAGAUUAAAAGCAGCUGGCCCAGCCCCUUUCCAGUGCUCGCCAAUGGCCAAAUCCCCUGAGAAGUCCGCCUGUGCCCCACCCAGGCCCACAGGGACCAGGGUGGGGCACUGACUCCCCACCUCCCCCUGAAAUGCCACCCAUCGCUCCCCUCUGGAGGCUGUACCGGAUCACGAGACCCGGCGGCUAGAGCAGCGGGUCCUGAGCCUGCACACCCAGGCUCUGGUUCUCACGGGUGGCCCAGGAGAGGACAUGGGGGCCAAGGGAGUGAACAGUCCCACUCACUGGAGGCCUGCGGUCGUCUCCACCAGGCAAGACCUGGGUGCCUGGGUCGGGGGGAUCUUGCUGAUGACGGGGAUGCCAAGCUGUCCUGGGAGGUGACUCCCCUGAUGAGGCUCAGAGCCUGCUGCAGAGCGGGGCUUGCGCCCAGAGCCCCCGGGGAGGGAUGUGUCCCGAGGGAUGGGCUGGGCCAGGCCUCCCCGCGUGGGUGUGGCGCUCUCCUUCCGGGGCGCAUGCAGCCUGAGCUCAGAAGCGCAGUUUCAUCAGCUCCAAGGCCUCCAGGGCUCCCGUGGGCUUCUGGUCUACCAGCCUCCACCUACUUUGCUAUGCCCAUUCCACUUAAAGUGGGUCAAAACUGGCACUUCACAAACCAGGCAGUCCAGGGGCCACAGGGAGCUCAAAAGUACCAGCAGUUCCAGCCACCAGGGAGAUGCAAAUGAAGGGGGCCCUGGGGUGCGGGAUGGGGGACCGUCACUCCCCUCCCCGGCAGCCUGCUGGGCGCCUUCCUCCUUCACUCAGCCCGGCCCAGGGCCCUCGUAGAGGAAGGGGCUGAGCUGAACCACCUGCAGGGCCAGGGCUCCCAUGUGCUACGAGGGUCCCUCCAAGAUAGCAAAGGGGGACCCGGGGCCCCCACGUGGAGAGGACACCAUCCUAAGGAGGCAGCUGUCCCCCUUAAACAAGGCGGUAGUUGAAACACUGAAUGUCAGGCACUGAGUGCCAGCGUACUGGGUUCUGAGGGUCCCGAGGUAAUCGCCUGACACUAACCAGAUCGGGAGCCUCCGGCGCUAACGGGCAGAGGGAGGAGCUGCAUCCAGCGUGCUCAGGACCAGCUCCUGGCAUCAGCUGCCCUCCCGGAGCUUGGUGGCUCCUCACACACACAGGGAGGUAAGGAGACCCUCCUGGGCCCUCUGGGGUCGGCGGGGGCCACAGUGCGGAGGACCUGGAGGGAACACUUGGCACAGGGGCCCUGGGCAGCUGCGGCCGGAGUCCAAAUCCCACCGGGGCAGGGGACUUCCCCUUGUCCCCGUGAGGACCAAACAGGACGGUGUGCGCUGGUCAGGCUGCCCUGGGGAAGCCCGUGUGAGCUCGGGGUGACGAGGCAGCAGUGCUGAUGGCCAUCAGAGGUGAGAGGCCAGGCGGCAAAAGAGGACCCAAUGGUCCCAAGAAGACAUCGAGACAUGCUUCCAAGAGACUGCUCGCUGAAAGGGACGCAUCUGUUCACAGGGACUGUUCCCAGAAGGGUGCGUCUCACUGGUGGCCCCCCUGCCUCUGGGACAGCCUCGCCCUGAGCAUGACUCCUCAGUGGCCUGUUUGGCAUCGUCACCCCGCCCGGGGCGCGGCCCCUUUCUGUCCUCCCAGCCCCUCACCAACGAUAAUAUUAUGUUGGAGGGUCAUCUGGCUACAGAUUGUAAGAUCCAUCAAAAGAAUUAAGUUCUCCUAUUCCUAGAAGUCUUCCUAAAUAAAUUCCAAAGGGAGCUCAUCUAGAGUCUGAUACGGGGAAGACUGUCAAUAAAUGUCAGCUGAACUGAAGGUCAAGAGUUAUGGGCACAAGAGAGAUGCUCGCAACCGCAUCAUUCACAACAGAAAAGGAGCCGGUCUGCAUCAUCCGGCCACGGAGGCGCCACGAAGUUCGGGUUUUCUGCUCUGUAAAGUAAGACGCGGCUGCGAACAAUGGUAGGGAGAGGGAGAAGUGGAAGUUACAGGUGCACGUGACCCUGGCUAAAGAAGGGGGCCGGCAGGACCCCAGAGGAGAUAAACAGCUGUCUCGGCGUGGUGGGCGUACGGGGAGGCCCGUUCCUCUAAGUUCCCUCGGAGGCCCCAGCAAAGCUGACUUGAUAAUGUACACAAUAAUAAAAGCAGCUUCUCGUUUUGUCUUGCCACCGCUUCACCGCAGGCAUUAAGGAGGCUGGAAGGUCAAGGUUACUCUCCAGCCCAGCCAGACACAACAAGAGGCACAGCAGCUCCUCUGAGGUCCAGCAGCUCGCGAGCCAUGGGAGGGAUGGUACAGGCCAGUCCUGAGCCUGGGGCCAAAGGCUCAGCCGGGCGUGGCAAAUGCCAUCUGCUCUUCAGAGCACACUGGUUCAUUACAGAGCAUCCUCAGAGUUCUCAUCGUGGCUCAGCGGAAACAAAUCUGACUAGCAUCCAUGAGGAUGGGGGUUCGAUCCCUGGCCUCGCUCAGUGGGUUAAGGAUCCGGAGUUGCCAUGAGCUGUGGUGUAGGUCACAGACGCAGCUCGGAUCCUGCGUUGCUGUGGCUGUGGCCGUGGCCGUGGCUGUGGCCAGCAGCUAUAGCUCCAAUUCAACCCCUAGCCUGGGAACCUCCAUAUGCCACGGGUGUGGCCCUAAAAAACAGAAAAAAAAAAAAAAGAGGCCAUUACACAGCAUCCUUGAGGGAGCCAGGGUAACCCUGGGAUGUACGUUACCUGGGACAUCAAACAAGUGUCCCCUGGAGACCACCCAAGACUGGCCCUCGCCUGAGACCUCCUGCCCAGCUACCAGCAGUGUCGGAUAGACCUGAACCCACCAGCUUUGGGACAUAGAGCCCUGGGGGUCCCCCUAGCAUAUCCAUGGUGGCACCGCCUUCAGGUCCACCUGGAGAAGAAUUCACAUCCCACCCCCCAGAGAGGGGGGUCGCAGGAGUAAGGGGUUUGCUUCAGGCCACGUGGCCAGGAUGUGGCAGGGCUGGGACUCAGAUCUGUUUUGACUCCAAAGCCAGCAUCUUCGUUGUCCCACUGGAUGAAACCAGCCCCCCAUAAAUGAGCCCCCACAACCCAGGAGCUAGAGGGACUUUAGGGUACAAUCCAGCCUUUCUUAGAUGAGGAAACUGAGGCCCAGAGAGGGGCAGUCGCUGGCCUGAGGCAGCCCAGCGACCCUGCACCAAGAUAGGAUGAGGUUGUCCUUCCAGAGCGCUGAGCCAGCCACCCCCAGGCAGAGGCCUGAGCAGAAGGGGUUCCUGGGCUCCCUGCCUGCCAGGACUCUGCCCCAUCCGUGCUUACAACACGGGGUGGGGCGUGGAGGAGUGCGCACAGCUGGGGACACUGAGGCACAGAGGGAGGGCCUGGAGUGAACCAGUGGGGAGGCCAGCGCCACCCCCUGUAUUUAUUAGCACCUUCCGCCCCGGCCGGGUUCCCCGAGAAGUUGACGGACGCCACCUCGUUCAUCACAGUCCAGACGGCACCUUGUAAAUGGUCAAAGCUGCCCAGAGAGGGGGCCAUUCGCUCCGGCCCUCGGGGACGCCAGCCUGCCGGGGCGGCAUGACCCACACUGGGCCGAUUGUGCGUGCAGGGACCCCGUCCAAGCUGCCCUGGCUCCUGGCAGGCCGCCGUGCCCUGGACGAUUCCUAGACGGAAUGUUGCUUUCUUCUCCAGCCUGGAAGACAAGCUGCUCCUCCAGAACUUUCACUCAACACUACUCUGAUUUUCCUCAGACCCGGGUCCUGCCCCACAACUUACUGGGAAGCCAUAAUCCAGCCCCAAACAAGCCAGCCCUUUGGCCUCCAGAAAGCAGGGGAAGCAGCUCCCAUCUGGCAGUGGUGGGGGUGGGGGCAGCCCUCAAGUGCAUUUGCUCAGUGAUCCUCAGGGGGGCGCUGUCUUCUUUACAGAGGGGGGGAACAGGACCAGAAGGGGGAGCCUAGCUGAUGGCAGCAGUUAGGCUCAGGAUUCUGGGGCUCAGGUGUUCCCCAAAUCUGGAGAAGACCCAGUGACUCAUCUUUCCCCCCACCCCUCAGCCUCAGUCCCCCUCCAGUGACCUUUGGGAUUGAGCCCAAGGGUCAGUGUAUUUGAAGGGCUCAGGUUUGCUGGGACGGGAGGGUGGGCAGGCCAGUCUGGUGAUGAAUAGGAGGGUUAACAGGACCCGCCUCCUCUGAGUGCUAUGUGGGUUGAGGAUCUCAUGGGAAGUAGGGCUCUGGGUGCCAUCUGCUACACUAUUCCUUCCUGAGCACCAGAUGCUGGGCACAGGGGCUGGCACCACAGGAAGGCCAUCUCUCACUGGUCCCUUGGCCCAGGUGCAUGCCAGGACUCUACUGUUCCAAGGUCCAGGGCUUUAAACUAUACUUAACAUCUAAUGGGGACCUCUCCCUCACUCUCCCCGCCCCCAGGUUUCCUGACUAUUUACUUGCUUAUUUUGCCAUACAAGCAUAAAAAUUAACUCAUUACAAGUUACCGAUUUCUACACCCCAGGGUGUGUUAAAAAGUAGGGGUAGGAGGGAGCAGAGCAGCUGGCCCUGCUGGUGUCAAAUUGUCCCCAAACAAGAUUCUUUGGUAGAAAAAGCCCAAUUUCAUCCUCGGAACCCUAGGGUGUAGACUGGGAAAUGGGAAGUCAGUUCCAUUUCCAGAGGCUCAAGAUCAAAUGGGAGAUGAGAAUGCUGGUUCUCAAACCCAGCUGCUUAUUAGAAUAACCCGGAAAGCUUAGAACAAGGACUUGUGUGCUAUCAAAGCUGUUAAGUGCAGCUAAAGCAGGACCCAGAGGGAAAUUUAUAGCACUAAAUGCUUCUAUAGAAGGAAAGGUCUAAAAUCCAUCAUCUAAGCUCCCAUGUUUAGAAACUAGAAAAAGAAGAGCAAAAUAAACCCAAAGCAAGCAGAGGAAGGAAACAAUAAAGAUCAGAGCAGAAAAUGAAGUAACUGAAAACAGGAAAACAAAAGAGAAAAUCACUGAAACAAGAGUUGGUUCUUUGAAAAAUCAAUUAGAAAAGCUGAUGCCUGCAGCCCACCCCUAGAUAUUUCACUUAGUUGGUCUGGGGUUGGCCUGGGGGCUGGCGGGUCUAAUCUCCCCUGGUGACUCUAAUGGGCAGUGAGGACCGCCUCCCUGAAACAUACAGACCAUUCAAGGGCUGCCCAGCAGGAAGAAAGAGCCACCUGCCACAAGAUGCUGCUUCUGUUUCCACCCCUGUAAAAUGAGGGUGGUACCACAAUGCCAGCCAGUGGCCGUGUGGUCUGGGGUGAGUCUGCUUCCCUCUCUGGGCCUUAGUUUCCACACCAGGCUCUGUCCUAGACUUGACAUUCUCCACCUGUGCUGCUUGGAGCCCCGGCUUCCUAAAGGACCCUGGGGGCGGGAGGGUGGGAGGCAGGCUGCCAGUCCUCAAGAGUCCUGCCUCCUCCCAUCCUCCAUGGGGGUGGGAUGAACUCCAUCCCUCACCCCGCACCUCAGGCCUCUGAAUGAACACCCCCCCACCCCUGCCCCAGGCCUGCUCCACCAUCAGGAACCUCCGCCUGAUGCUGUGGUGGCCAAAUGCACUUCCUUCCACAAUUCUGCACCGACCUCCCCUCCAAAUGGUCUUUUCUCCCUGUAAGCUGCUGCCCCAGCUGGACAGUCAGGACGGGCUUGUACGCUGGGACACUAACAGGAUGCUUCCUGACGGCAGGUGGAGGGACGUGUACCUCCUGCCCCACCUCGCCUUUAACCAACAAGCCUGGACUCCAAAACUGCACUGAACACACACACUCCCGCCCUCCCUUCGGCCUACGUGCCGCAAGCUCCACGCACCCCCUUAGGAGGUGGCUGUGUUCCCCACACAGAGAGCUGUGGAGACAGGAUGCCUCACGCUCAGGUCAGGAGGAAACUUCACGGAAGGACAGUGAUCUUGGACCUCAGGACGGGCGAGAUCUUUGCCAUCUGGGACAGGGAUCCUAGUUUCUGCAAAGAGGCAUAAAAAGGAAUGCCAACAAGGACAUCCAGCUGCAGCAAACCCCUCAUGGAAGGUUCCAGCAUGUCCCCAUGGCCGCCCAUGGGCACCUCCAUCUCUGGCAGCCUGGGGCCUUUUCUGUGCAUGGACCACAGCCAGUGCUUAUUCUGCCCCCUCCACCCCAAGUGCCCAUAUUCCAUCCUCUCCCAGUUCCGUUUCAUGUGCAUUUGGAAGGACAGACAGACGGAGACAGAGAAUGUUGUGUGCGUGCACGAAUGAGCCGUUCAUGCUAUUCUUCGGAAAGAAUGAUGGAUUAAAAACCUGCAAAGCCAGUCAAUUGCACAUCUAUUUUUCUAAGGGGGGCAGGGUGGGGAUGGAGAGAACUUUCCUGAAAGGACUUGGCCUUGAAACAUUAAGUCAAACAACUGGAUUUGGCAGUGGCCCGCUUCCGAGCACUGCCAGCCUGAAGAAACUGGCGGCCCAGCACGCUGCCUCAGGGCUGCGAAUAAUGAACUCAUUCAAAGCCGAGCCCAGGGGCUGGAGAGUCGGUGCACGCAGGGGGCUUGCAGAUCAGAGGGGCUGCGGUACCAGGGACCCCUGGGUCUGAACCAAAAACUUGACCUCAGCUGCCCAGUGGGAAACCCCAGAGACCUGUCCCCACGGAUGCAGGAGGGCCGGUGGGUCUGUAGAGAUGGAUGGACAGGAAAAGGCAUGAUUCCGGACAGCAGAUGAAAAUUAGGGGACCAAUCCCUAAGUGGUUAAAGUUUGGGCAGUGGGCCCUCCAGCACCGUGGCCUUCCCUGGAGGGGCUCUCAUGUGCGUUAGCGGCCCAGCUCCUCCCUGGACAAAGGGGUCGUGCUGAGCCCAUGGGGCCACGGCCCACACCUGGCUUGCAGUCCUGCGUGGGCCCACAGGACUGUAGCUAUGGCUCAGCCCCCAUCACUGUUUUGAAGCCAAAUUUUCAUUUCUGCUGAUUGGCCUCUGUCUUUGGAGGCAGCUUAGAAGCCAGAAUGGUGGGCCCAGCUCAAUCUAGCAGUCGGCAGCUCUUGGAACAGAUAAAAAAAAUAUAGGCCCCACGAUGCAUGCUCUGAGCAAGCCUGGCCACCACCAAGGAGGCGCCGUCGUGAAGCUCUAGGCCGCUUUACUCAGGAGAAGGUGCCGCCACGCACUGCCCGCCACCCACCAAGUUUUCAUCUAGGCCUGCAAGAGGCUCGGGAGAAGCCUGGGUCCUGGCAGGCAAGGCCCCGUUUUCUCUCGGAUGGUUUUCAGCAGUGGGGGCACCACGAGAGCAUUUCGGAGCCUUCGUUAGCUGCGCUGCUGGAGGAGGCCUUGAUUUAUGGAUGCUCCGCCGUGCUCGCAAAUGACCACUUUGCAGGCAGCACAGCUGGUCCAGAAAACAGCGUCUGGUUUUCGCUAACCUUUGCUCCUCUGUCCUUGGCUCCCAGAGCACAAUGCAACCUGUAGGCUGGCCCCUUGGUGGGGGGUGUCCCCCAAUGCCCCCCUGCAAGUUUCCAACUGUCCCCACCCUCAGAAGGCAGACUUACCCCCCUGCAAGUUGCUGUCACAGCAAGUCCUGAGAAGCAAGAACCCACCAAUAUGUAGAUUUCUGUGCAUUUAU